GGAGAAUGUGUGUGUCAGCACCAACAAGUUAAUUGCUUCCUAAUAGCUAGUUAAGCUUUACUUAAGCUCCCAGGCUGGGACAGAGACGGCAUAGAGCCCAUCCCAGUGUGGUUGGAGAUAAAAGGAACAGUGUGGCUUGCUUUUUUCCCUUUCCCACUCUCCUUCCGCCCAUGAUGCAUGAGUUGGUGUCUAAGUUGACAGUGCGAAGAUGGCCGGUGCGAAAAAAAGACUAGUUUAAGCUUCUCUGUCAGGCUUAGAGACAGCGGGCUCCACACAUCCAUCCAGCGAAAGGCAAAGCCGCGCGCCUCUGCUCUCCAUGGAUCUGUCGCUAUAUUCCCAGGGAUUUUAAAAGGACGUGGUCAUUAUAAAGACGAGUCACAGAGCGAUAGAAAAGCCAAGGGAAUCUGCACUAGCAAGUGAGGUGCCGAUCCCGGGUAGAUUUACACCAAACCUUUGGAGACUUUAAAUGGUUUGAGCGUUCACAUUUCACUCAUCACUUUUUUUCCUAGUAUAACAUCAAAAGCGUUUAAUUCCCCGUUAAGAACAGAAGGUGCGUGUGUGAGUGUGUGUAUGCGUGUGCAUGUGCCUGUGGUCGAACAUUGAGGAUGUGCUGCUUGGCGAAGACAUCGUGGAAGGUCCCUGUCUCCUCGGACAGAGAAGUCAUAGUAUUCCAACGCUGUUCCCAGUUUCCCCUCCCGGUACCAGGGCAACGGCGCGGCCGUGUGCUCAUGCUAAACGCCGGAUGCUGCUCUGCAUUGCGCUGCAUUAAGUGGCAGAUUGUAAUGGAGCUCUUAAUCUGGGAGUCACAGGAGUACACCUCUGCCGGCAGCGGGCGAGUCACCUCUCUACCUGCGCUGACGCAGCACUCAGGGACCGCAUGGAUGCAGGAUAUUGAUGAGUCUGGAUGUUCUGCUGAAACCUGCCCCACCCAAGGAACAACGCUCACUUGACACAUCGCAGAAAACCACUAAAUUCUUAAUCCGCGACCGGGUUAUCCUGGUGUCAUCUGCAGGCCAGUCAGCUGGGAUAUACAAAAUAAAAGCCCUCCUCUCCGACGUUUCGGCAGUGCUUAACCAGCCCAGAUGGAUAUCAAAUACUAACUAAUGCUAACUAAACUCUUGGAAGGAAACAGCAGCCGGAGCAGAGCAGCAGCCCACCUGUGGUCCUCGAGCAAAGCACGAGCUGCUCCAAUCACAACAUCCACCUACAACCAGCUCACAUCAAACUCCUGGCCCACUGGAACCCAGGGCACUGGUAGUUUCUACGGUUACGGGAGGAGAGCUACGCAGAGUGUGAGAGAGAGAGGGAGAGGGAGAGAGAGAGAGAGAGAGAGAGAGAGAGAGAGAGAGAG
ensembl:lncRNA